rnacentral:rRNA from 1 species
CCCGACAUCCAGAGUUUGAUCAUGGCUCAGGACGAACGCUGGCGGCGUGCUUAACACAUGCAAGUCGAGCGGUAAGGCCCUUUCGGGGGUACACGAGCGGCGAACGGGUGAGUAACACGUGGGUGAUCUGCCCUGCACUUCGGGAUAAGCCUGGGAAACUGGGUCUAAUACCGGAUAUGACCAAAGGCUGCAUGGUUUUUGGUGGAAAGGUUUACUGGUGCAGGAUGGGCCCGCGGCCUAUCAGCUUGUUGGUGGGGUAAUGGCCUACCAAGGCGACGACGGGUAGCCGACCUGAGAGGGUGACCGGCCACACUGGGACUGAGACACGGCCCAGACUCCUACGGGAGGCAGCAGUGGGGAAUAUUGCACAAUGGGCGAAAGCCUGAUGCAGCGACGCCGCGUGAGGGAUGACGGCCUUCGGGUUGUAAACCUCUUUCAGCAGGGACGAAGCGAAAGUGACGGUACCUGCAGAAGAAGCACCGGCCAACUACGUGCCAGCAGCCGCGGUAAUACGUAGGGUGCGAGCGUUGUCCGGAAUUACUGGGCGUAAAGAGCUCGUAGGCGGUUUGUCGCGUCGUCUGUGAAAACCAGCAGCUCAACUGCUGGCUUGCAGGCGAUACGGGCAGACUUGAGUACUGCAGGGGAGACUGGAAUUCCUGGUGUAGCGGUGAAAUGCGCAGAUAUCAGGAGGAACACCGGUGGCGAAGGCGGGUCUCUGGGCAGUAACUGACGCUGAGGAGCGAAAGCGUGGGUAGCGAACAGGAUUAGAUACCCUGGUAGUCCACGCCGUAAACGGUGGGCGCUAGGUGUGGGUUUCCUUCCACGGGAUCCGUGCCGUAGCUACACGCAUUAAGCGCCUCGCCGGGGAACACGGUUCUAU